AGUGAACGCUGGCGGUAGGCCUAACACAUGCAAGUCGAACGGCAGCACAGUAAGAGCUUGCUCUUACGGGUGGCGAGUGGCGGACGGGUGAGUAAUACAUCGGAAUCUACUUUUUCGUGGGGGAUAACGUAGGGAAACUUACGCUAAUACCGCAUACGACCUACGGGUGAAAGCAGGGGAUCUUCGGACCUUUCGCGAUUGAAUGAGCCGAUGUCGGAUUAGCUAGUUGGCGGGGUAAAGGCCCACCAAGGCGACGAUCCGUAGCUGGUCUGAGAGGAUGAUAAGAAAAAAGGGAAAGGAGACACGGUAAAGAAGACGACGGGAGGAAGCAGAGGGGAAAAUGGGACAAGGGGCGAAAGAAUGAUACAGAAAUACCGAGUGGGUGAAGAAGGAAUUAGGGUUGUAAAGACCUUUUGUUGGGAAAGAAAAGCAGAAGGUUAAUACCACGCUGUUCUGACGGUAACCAAAGAAUAAGCACCGGCUAACUUCGUG
rnacentral:rRNA from 1 species